AUGGAAAGUCUUUGAGGUCAAUGGAAGGUCAUGGAAGGUCCUGGAAGGUCAUGGAAGGUCAAUGGAAGGUCCUGGAAGGUCAGGGAAGGUCAUGGAAGGUCAAUGGAAACCUUUCAAGGUCCUGUCAGCUCAGACCGUCCCCAGGUCCUGUCAGCUCCAAACUCAAUCCCAAUGACCAGAACCAGGUCCUGGCAGCUCAGACCACCCCCAGGUCCUGUCAGCUCUAUCCAGGUCCUGGCAGCUCCAAACUCAAUCCCAAUGACCACAAGCAGGUCCUGGCAGCUUAGACCACCCCCAGGUCCUGUCAGCUCUAUCCAGGUCCUGUCAGCUCUAUCCAGGUCCUGUCAGCUCAAACCUCAAUUCUCAGGUCCUGGCAGCUCAAACCCCAGUCCCAGGUCCUGUCAGCUCUAUCCAGGUCCUGUCAGCUCUAUCCAGGUCCUGUCAGCUCACCGCUGA
rnacentral:lncRNA from 1 species